rnacentral:rRNA from 1 species
CCGGCCUGAGAGGGCGACCGGCCACACUGGGACUGAGACACGGCCCAGACUCCUACGGGAGGCAGCAGUGGGGAAUAUUGCACAAUGGGCGAAAGCCUGAUGCAGCGACGCCGCGUGAGGGAUGACGGCCUUCGGGUUGUAAACCUCUUUCAGCAGGGAAGAAGCGAAAGUGACGGUACCUGCAGAAGAAGCGCCGGCUAACUACGUGCCAGCAGCCGCGGUAAUACGUAGGGCGCAAGCGUUGUCCGGAAUUAUUGGGCGUAAAGAGCUCGUAGGCGGCUUGUCACGUCGGAUGUGAAAGCCCGGGGCUUAACCCCGGGUCUGCAUUCGAUACGGGCUAGCUAGAGUGUGGUAGGGGAGAUCGGAAUUCCUGGUGUAGCGGUGAAAUGCGCAGAUAUCAGGAGGAACACCGGUGGCGAAGGCGGAUCUCUGGGCCAUUACUGACGCUGAGGAGCGAAAGCGUGGGGAGCGAACAGGAUUAGAUACCCUGGUAGUCCACGCCGUAAACGU